GAUGAACGCUGGCGGCGUGCCUAAUACAUGCAAGUCGAGCGAACAGACGAGGAGCUUGCUCCUCUGACGUUAGCGGCGGACGGGUGAGUAACACGUGGAUAACCUACCUAUAAGACUGGGAUAACUUCGGGAAACCGGAGCUAAUACCGGAUAAUAUAUUGAACCGCAUGGUUCAAUAGUGAAAGACGGUUUUGCUGUCACUUAUAGAUGGAUCCGCGCCGGAUUAGCUAGUUGGUAAGGUAACGGCUUACCAAGGCGACGAUGCGUAGCCGACCUGAGAGGGUGAUCGGCCACACUGGAACUGAGACACGGUCCAGACUCCUACGGGAGGCAGCAGUGGGGAAUCUUCGACAAUGGGCGAAAGCUUGACGCAGCAACGCCGCGUGAGUGAUGAAGGUCUUCGGAUCGUAAAACUCUGUUAUUAGGGAAGAACAAAUGUGGAAGUAACUAUGGACGUCUUGACGGUACCUAAUCAAAAAGCAACGGCUAACUACGUG
rnacentral:rRNA from 1 species